AGAGGAGGGCGUGGUCCCCAGCUAGGGCUUCAUCCCUGGGCCUGGGCCCACCUAGGUGAAGACAGGCAUUUUUGUUUUCCUGCCCGAAUGUCGCAUUUCCCAAGACCACCCUGGCCUGCCAUGCCCUCAUCCUGUGCCUUUAAAAAGCCCCGAGACCCUGGCAGGCAGACGCACAAGCAGCUGGACAUUGAGAGGAGCAUAUAGGCAGAGAAUACAGGGGCUGCUGGCUGUCGAAAGGAACGCACCAGCAUAGGAGCACACCGGCAUGCUGGCAGGCCAUUGACCAGCGGAAGAAUGCAGAGUUUGUCGCGGGAGGUCAGAGAAGAGUCAGGCCGCCAUACCUGACUCCAGGAGAAAACCAUCUCCCUUCUGGUUCCCCCGUCUGCCGAGAGCUACUUCCACUCAAUAAAACUUUCCACUCAUUCUUCAAGCCCACGUGUGAUCCAAUUCUUCCCGUACACCAAGGUCUCGCUGUGUUUCCCAGGCUGGGUGCAGUGGCUAUUCAAAGGUACAAUGAUAGCUCACUGCAGCCUGGAACUCCUGGACUUAAGCGAUCCUCCUGCCUCAGCUGCGACUAACAGUGCUGGUAACGAUGUAUACCUGGCAGCUGACUGUCAAAUCUUAUGAAGGAUUAAAACAUAAAGUUUGCAUUAAAGGUCAAAACAGUCACAAGCCUGCUCAAAUUCGAAAAGAGGGGACGGAAAUGGAACCUCUUCAUGGGAGGAAGAAACAGGGUCUUGCUCUGUUGCCCUGGCUGGAGUGCAAUGGUAUGAUCAUAGCUCACUGUAGCCUUGAACUCCUGGGCCCAAGCCAUCCUCCUACCUCAGCAACCAGAGUAGCUGGGAUUACAGGUGAAUGCCACCACACCUGGAAUUGGAAAAAUGAAUGUAAUUUGACAUAUGUCUUGAGUCUGGUUGGCUUCUGAGAAACUUGUGUGCAUAUCAUCAGUAUGCAUCUUAAGAACUGAUAUGACCCUACUUCAGCAUUGUGAGAAGACAUGCAUUCUCUUCUUAUAAAUAAUGUGGAUCUUACAUGUAAAGUAUUAUAAAGAUUAGCUGUUUAACAACUUAAAUAAGCUUGUAAAUAAUAAAUUAAUAACAAUGUUAUGCUAAUACGUAACUAUGAUAUUUGCUGAACAAAAUAAAUUUGCCUACUUUGGAAGCAGAUUGGGUGGUUUAAUAUAUCAGCAAAAGAGUGUUUUUUAAAAAUAUCAAAGUUCUGUGAAUCAAAACAUUUAUUUUAGGACAGUUAGUAAUGUUUUGUUUGCCAACUUAUAUUACAGUCUCUGUCUUAAGUGUUUCCUUGCAAAUAAAAUGACAAUACUGCCUUACAUUUUAUUACUUUAGAGUUUGCAAAAUAUCUUCAUUAUAAUAUUUCAUUUAGUAGACAUGCCUAUGGGAACAUUACUUCCAGAAUUAAAAACAUUAUUUUUGUUUUGGUAUAUUUUUAAACUACAAAUGAUAGAAAGGCAAGUAAAUGUAAGUUUUUCUCUAGUUAUUUGUUCAAAUGCUAAUUUAAAACAUUUGUACAUUUCUAAUACAAACAUUCCUUAUUUGAGAAAAAAUGGAUUUCUUAAAAACAAAAUGCAUUUUAAAGCAGAGAGACAGGGCAUUGAGCUGAAAAUGGUGGCUGGAAGUUGGGAUCUGUAAGAGAAGUUGAAUGUGCCCCGAGGCAUAAAGCUGCUAAUUUUGUUUUAUUGGAUUUUACUGUAGCUAUUAAUAUAUUUUGCUGGAGAUUUAUGUGAUCAAUUUAUCUUAUGGCCAGAACUAAUUCCCUUAGUAUAUUUUAUUAGAAUAUGUGACUUUUUCUAAAUUUAGCUUUAUUUUUCAUAUUUUCCAUAAAUGGCAAAGAUUCUAUGUUUCCAGACAUGUUAAGUAUUGCAAGAAUUAUUUGAGCACCUAAAGAUAAAUAAUAUCAAAAUAGUGUCAUUGUUUCCCUUAGUUUCUCCUUCUCCCCCGCAAAUAAACCAAGAGGUAUUUAGUUAUACUAUUGCAUGUCUCUAGCUUUAUCAGAUUCUUCCAUGAAAGACAAAUGGAUUACAUUUUUGGUUGUGUGGCCCUCGUUGCCCUAUUGCACUUUUGAUAAUAUUUGCCUGUGACAAGUAGUUAUUUUUCAUUACCACAUUCAAUCAUGGGUAAUAAAAUAUUUUAAUAAUGGUG
rnacentral:antisense_RNA from 1 species